ACAUAAAGUAUCAUGUCAUCUUUGAAAAGAGAGUUUGGAAUGGUACAGGAUUGGGUAUCAUUGUACAGCUUUGGCGGUCUGUUAGUAAAGCUGAGGGAUGCCUAUGGAAAAAAAGUAGGAGAAGGUGUAUUCACAGGACACAGCCAUGGAAACCUGGUCAGUUGAUCAGGUCUGCAUUUGGUUGGUGGAGAAAAACUUAGGAGAGCUAGUUCAUAGGUUUCAAGAGGAAGAAGUAAGUGGGGCCGCUCUUCUAGCACUUAACGAUCGGAUGGUUCAGCAACUGGUAAAGAAAAUUGGGCACCAGGCUGUUCUGAUGGAUUUAAUUAAAAAAUAUAAGCAGGAGGGUCAAAGACUGGAGUCCUUUGGAAGCCCUAGAGAAACAGCCCCUCUUGCUCAAGCAGGAGCAGACCCAGAGGAUGAAGAGUCCCCUAGUCCUGCCAACCGUGGGAAGCAGACACCAUCUUUCUAUGUAGCCAAAAACCUUGAUAAUGGACUAAUUGACCAAAGAGUACUGAAACAGAGAAGGAAUAUGAAACAUGUUCUAGCAAGGAAUAAAGCAUUGCAAUGGACUAAGUCCUAUGUUUUACCAGAGUUUCCCUAUGAUGUCAAAUGCAUGUUAGCAGAACAGAAGUGUCCCGAUCACAGCAUGAGGAUAAGGAUCAUUGAGUUUCUCCAGGCCGACCUGACUAAGUAUCGGGAAGGCUCACUGUAUCCCAGCACCCAGCAGUACAAUGAUGUGGUCAACGCCUUGCUGCAGGCCCACCCUUUCCUGGACGACGAUGGCUGUGGCUUUUUUUUAUGGAAACGAGCUCUCAAAGAUCGCUUUAAAUAUGUUCGGAGACCCAUAGAAGAUGAUGAACAAGUGAUGAGAAAUAAGUGUAAAUUUGGACACAGAAGAGGCCAGACGAAGAAAUCUCUUACCAAUAUAAGCUUUGAUGAAGUUAAAAUUGUCCAGAUAAAAGUAAGAUUGGAUAUUUAG